rnacentral:rRNA from 1 species
UACGGGGGGAGCAAGCGUUGUUCGGAUUUACUGGGCGUAAAGGGCGCGUAGGCGGUCGUGACAAGUCACUUGUGAAAUCUCCGGGCUUAACUCGGAACGGUCAAGUGAUACUGUCGGACUAGAGUACAGAAGGGGCAACUGGAAUUCUCGGUGUAGCGGUGAGAUGCGUAGAUAUCGAGAGGAACACCUGCGGCGAAGGCGGGUUGCUGGGCUGAUACUGACGCUGAGGCGCGAAAGCCAGGGGAGCGAACGGG